AUGGAGAACCAGGGGGCAGCAGCGGGAGCGGCAGCGCCGGAGAAGGAGGCGCAAGCGCCGGCGUCGACGUGCUUCAAGUGGACGGUGGGGGAGGGGGCGUCGCUGAUGGAGCGGGCCAAGGACCAGUACAGGCAGUUCACGGAGGCGCAGGCGAGCGAGCACUGGGAGUGCAUCAAGAACAAGGUCAGCUCCAUGUUCGCCGAGCCAAUAUUCGGCGGAGGCGCCAAGGACCACGGCUCAGCCGCUAACACGACGCCGUCCGUCGAGUCGCAGUAG
rnacentral:rRNA from 1 species